rnacentral:rRNA from 1 species
GAUCCUGGCUCAGGAUGAACGCUAGCGGCAGGCCUAACACAUACAAGUCGAGGGGCAGCAUAGUGUAGCAAUACAAUUGAUGGCGACCGGCGCACGGGUGCGUAACGCGUAUGCAACCUACCCAGAACAGGGGGAUAACACUGAGAAAUUGGUACUAAUAUCCCAUAACAUCGAUAAGGGGCAUCCCUUUUGGUUGAAAACUCCGGUGGUUCUGGAUGGGCAUGCGUUGUAUUAGCUGGUUGGUGAGGUAACGGCUCACCAAGGCAACGAUACAUAGGGGACUGAGAGGUUAACCCCCCACAUUGGUACUGAGACACGGACCAAACUCCUACGGGAGGCAGCAGUGAGGAAUAUUGGUCAAUGGACGCAAGUCUGAACCAGCCAUGCCGCGUGCCAGGAAGACGGCUCUAUGAGUUGUAAACUGCUUUUGUACUAGGGUAAACUCAGAUACGCGUAUCUGACUGAAAGUAUAGUACGAAUAAGGACCGGCUAACUCCGUGCCAGCCGCUGC